AGUUUUAUAGUUUAAAAAAAACAUUAAUUUUGUAAAUUAAAAUUAAAUUUAUAUUUUAAAACUC
rnacentral:tRNA from 1 species